GACGAACGCUGGCGGCGUGCCUAAUACAUGCAAGUCGAGCGGACAGAUGGGAGCUUGCUCCCUGAAGUCAGCGGCGGACGGGUGAGUAACACGUGGGCAACCUGCCUGUAAGACUGGGAUAACUUCGGGAAACCGGAGCUAAUACCGGAUACGUUCUUUCCUGGCAUGAGGAAAGAUGGAAAGAUGGUUUCGGCUAUCACUUGCCGAUGGGCCCGCGGCGCAUUAGCUAGUUGGUGGGGUAAUGGCCCACCAAGGCGACGAUGCGUAGCCGACCUGAGAGGGUGAUCGGCCACACUGGGACUGAGACACGGCCCAGACUCCUACGGGAGGCAGCAGUAGGGAAUCUUCCGCAAUGGACGAAAGUCUGACGGAGCAACGCCGCGUGAGCGAAGAAGGCCUUCGGGUCGUAAAGCUCUGUUGUCAGGGAAGAACAAGUGCCAGAGUAACUGCUGGCACCUUGACGGUACCUGACCAGAAAGCCACGGCUAACUACGUGCCAGCCGCCGCCGUAAAAC
rnacentral:rRNA from 1 species